rnacentral:rRNA from 1 species
AUAGCAGUUGGAAACGACUGGUAAAACCGCAUAAGCGCACGGUGUCGCAUGACACAGUGUGAAAACACUCCGGUGGUAUGAGAUGGACCCGCGUCUGAUUAGCUAGUUGGUGAGGUAACGGCCCACCAAGGCGACGAUCAGUAGCCGGCCUGAGAGGGUGAACGGCCACAUUGGGACUGAGACACGGCCCAAACUCCUACGGGAGGCAGCAGUGGGGAAUAUUGCACAAUGGGGGAAACCCUGAUGCAGCGACGCCGCGUGAGUGAUGAAGUAUUUCGGUAUGUAAAGCUCUAUCAGCAGGGAAGAUAAUGACGGUACCUGACUAAGAAGCACCGGCUAAAUACGUGCCAGCAGCCGCGGUAAUACGUAUGGUGCAAGCGUUAUCCGGAUUUACUGGGUGUAAAGGGUGCGUAGGUGGCAAGGCAAGUCUGAAGUGAAAAUCCGGGGCUCAACCCCGGAACUGCUUUGGAAACUGUUUAGCUGGAGUACAGGAGAGGUAAGUGGAAUUCCUAGUGUAGCGGUGAAAUGCGUAGAUAUUAGGAGGAACACCAGUGGCGAAGGCGACUUACUGGACUGCUACUGACACUGAGGCACGAAAGCGUGGGGAGCAAACAGGAUUAGAUACCCUGGUAGUCCACGCCGU